AUUGAACGCUGGCGGCAGGCCUAACACAUGCAAGUCGAGCGAGCGGCGGACGGGUGAGUAAUGUCUGGGAACCUGCCUGAUGGAGGGGGAUAACUACUGGAAACGGUAUCUAAUACCGCAUACCAUCAGAUGUGCCCAGAUGGGAUUAGCUAGUCGGUGGGGUAACGGCUCACCUAGGCGACGAUCCCUAGCUGGUCUGAGAGGAUGACCAGCCACACUGGAACUGAGACACGGGCCAGACGCCUACGGGAGGCAGCAGUGGGGAAUAGUGGCCAAUGGGCGAAAGCCUGAUGCAGCCAUGCCGAGUGUGUGAAGAAGGCCUUCGGGGGGUAGAGCACUGUCAGCGGGGAGGCGUUACCCGCAGAAGAAGCACCGGCUAACUCCGUGCCAGCAGCCGCGGUAAUUC
rnacentral:rRNA from 1 species